rnacentral:rRNA from 1 species
GACGAACGCUGGGGGCGUGCUUAACACAUGCAAGUCGAACGGAAAGGCCUGCUUUCCCUUGUGGAUUGCGGGUACUCGAGUGGCGAACGGGUGAGUAACACGUGAGUGAUCUGCCCCCAACUUGGGUAUAAGCCUGGGAAACUGGGUCUAAUUCCCGAUAGGACUGCAGGGUGGUGCCUGUGGUGGAAAACGAUUUUCUAGUGGUUGGGGAUGAGCUCGCGGCCUAUCAGCUUGUUGGUGGGGUAAUGGCCUACCAAGGCGGCGACGGGUAGCCGGCCUGAGAGGGUGGACGGCCACAUUGGGACUGAGAUACGGCCCAGACUCCUACGGGAGGCAGCAGUGGGGAAUAUUGCACAAUGGGCGGAAGCCUGAUGCAGCGACGCCGCGUGGGGGAUGACGGCCUUCGGGUUGUAAACUCCUUUCGACCGCGAGGAAGCCACCUGGUUGGAAGGGUGGUGACGGUAGUGGUAGAAGAAGCACCGGCUAACUACGUG